rnacentral:rRNA from 1 species
UGAUACCCCGGUAGUCCAUGCCGUAAACGUUGGGCACUAGGUGUGGGGCUCAUUCCACGAGUUCCGUGCCGCAGCAAACGCAUUAAGUGCCCCGCCUGGGGAGUACGGCCGCAAGGCUAAAACUCAAAGGGAAUUGACGGGGGCCCGCACAAGCGGCGGAGCAUGCGGAUUAAUUCGAUGCAACGCGAAGAACCUUACCAAGGCUUGACAUGCACGGGAAGCCACCAGAGAUGGUGGUCUCUUUGGACACUCGUGCACAGGUGGUGCAUGGUUGUCGUCAGCUCGUGUCGUGAGAUGUUGGGUUAAGUCCCGCAACGAGCGCAACCCUCGUCCCAUGUUGCCAGCGGGUUAUGCCGGGGACUCAUGGGAGACUGCCGGGGUCAACUCGGAGGAAGGUGGGGAUGACGUCAAAUCAUCAUGCCCCUUAUGUCUUGGGCUUCACGCAUGCUACAAUGGCCGGUACAAAGGGCUGCGAUACCGUAAGGUGGAGCGAAUCCCAAAAAGCCGGUCUCAGUUCGGAUUGGGGUCUGC